UGGCUGAAAGCAAAAGUUCUGGUUUUGGAGAGGGACGGUGGAUGGGAGAGCUGGGUGGUGACCGCCAUGGAUAAGCAAGUGUAGACGGAAAUACUCAAUACUGUUGAGGGUUUAAGAAGUGGUUUAACGGGUGCAGAGUCAAGGAAAGACAACUAAUUGGGUUUGAUUCUGUCACGUGCUGUUACUUUACCGAUGAAAAUCGUCGGAAAACCCGCGAAUUGCUAUGCUCUCAAAU
rnacentral:misc_RNA from 1 species